CAGGAUGAACGCUGGCGGUCUGCUUAACACAUGCAAGUCGAACGAAUCCCUUCGGGGAUUAGUGGCGGACGGGUGAGUAGCGCGUGAGAAUCUGCCUUCAGGUUCGGGACAACCACUGGAAACGGUGGCUAAUACCGAAUGUGCCGCAACGUGAAAGAUUUAUCGCCUGAAGAUGAGCUCGCGUCCGAUUAGCUAGUUGGUGAGGUAAAAGCUCACCAAGGCGACGAUCGGUAGCUGGUCUGAGAGGAUGACCAGCCACACUGGGACUGAGACACGGCCCAGACUCCUACGGGAGGCAGCAGUGGGGAAUUUUCCGCAAUGGGCGCAAGCCUGACGGAGCAAGACCGCGUGAGGGAGGAAGGCCCAAGCGGUUGUAAACCUCUUUUCUCAGGGAAGAAGAAAGUGACGGUACCUGAGGAAUCAGCCUCGGCUAACUCCGUGCCAGCAGCCGCGGUAAUACGGAGGAGGCAAGCGUUAUCCGGAAUUAUUGGGCGUAAAGCGUCCGUAGGUGGUUAUGUAAGUCUACUGUCAAAGCACAGGGCUUAACCCUGUAAAGGCAGUGGAAACUACAAGACUCGAGUGCGGUAGGGGCAGAGGG
rnacentral:rRNA from 1 species